rnacentral:rRNA from 1 species
CCCCCGGGAAACUGGGGAUAAUCCUCGAUAGGUGAAGAACUCUGGAAUGAGUCUUUGCCUAAAAGGCGUUGGAUCAUGCUUUCAGCGUCGCCUAAGGAUGGGGCCGCGACCGAUCAGGUUGUUGGUGAGGUAAUGGCCCACCAAGCCUAUAACCGGUGCGGGCCGUGAGAGCGGGAGCCCGGAGAUGGGCACUGAGACAAGGGCCCAGGUCCUACGGGGCGCAGCAGUCGCGAAAACUUUGCAAUACACGAAAGUGUGACAGGGUCAUCCCGAGUGCCGACCGCUGAGGUUGGCUUUUACCCAGUCUAGAAAGCUGGGGGAAUAAGGAGAGGGCAAGUCUGGUGUCAGCCGCCGCGGUAAUACCAGCUCUCCGAGUGGUGUGGACGUUUAUUGGGCCUAAAGCAUCCGUAGCUGGCUGAACAAGUCCCCUGUUAAACCCACCGAUUUAAUCGUUGGUGUGCGGGGGAUACUGCUCGGCUAGGGGACGAGAGAGGCAGACGGUAUUCCCGGGGUAGGGGUGAAAUCCUAUAAUCCCGAGAAGACCACCAGUGGCGAAGGCUGUCUGCUAGAACGCGCCCGACGGUGAGGGAUGAAAGCUGGGGGAGCGAACCGGAUUAGAUACCCGGGUAGUCCCAGCUGUAAACGAUGCAGACUAGGUGUUUGGACGGCCACGUGCCGUUCUAGUGCCGCAGGGAAGCUGUUAAGUCUGCCGCCUGGGGAG